UGCCUUUGGUAGAUAAGAGACGGGCA
rnacentral:piRNA from 1 species